rnacentral:rRNA from 1 species
UACGUAGGCAGCGAGCGUUGUUCGGAGUUACUGGGCGUAAAGAGUGCGUAGGCGGUUUUCUAAGUUUGGUGUGAAAUCUCCCGGCUUAACUGGGAGGGUGCGCCGAAGACUGGAAGGCUUGAGUAUGGGAGAGGUAAGCGGAAUUCCUGGUGUAGCGGUGAAAUGCGUAGAUAUCAGGAGGAACACCGUGGCGGUGAGUGAUGACCGGCUUACGUCGGAACCAUGA